CAGGCGGGAGAUGAGGCUGUCAACGUUGAGCUCGCUUUCCGCCAUGUUUCAGUCACGGAGGAGGGAGGACGCGGGGCAGAGGUCCCUCAGCGUGGACUCGCAGGCUCGUUAAAGGGCCAGUCCUGCCGAACCUGGACGGUGCUACGAUGGCCGGGAUCACUAUUAGAACGGAUCAGUAGCGCAUCCUUGAAAGUAAACACACACCAAUAAUACCGUUAGUAACGUUAAACACUUCAUCCCACAGUCCCUUAACAUUCAAACCAAUGGGGUUGGAUGGUGGGGACACCCUGGAAAGGCUGCCAGUGCACUUCUGAACAGACACGCACACACACCUCGAGAAAAUCACGUCAUCAAUUCAAUGGUUUUUUGAUGUGUGAGAGGAAGCUGGUAUGUGGGUGCAGGUUAAUGCCAGCGACUCUUCCCUACUCUGGGUGAGGCACAUUACGCUGCAUGUGACACAAAACCACGGCCUUUCAGGUUCAACCCUUCCUCAGCUGUUGUUAACAAAGCCAACAGCUUUCUGCUCUCUGGUUACUCCUCCAUGCAAAUGCUCGUCCUUCCAUCCAGCCAAUGAGCCGGCGGGUGUCACGUGUACCAACAGCCCCUCGGAGGCGUGUGUCCCGUCACAAUGACAGCCUCUCCCACUUUGCUGUAGAAUUCCAAGCAUCCCAGAUGGACUCGCUGGACCUGGUCAGCCCCUAUCUGUUCCGGUACAAGGGGAAGAACUUUGUCGUGCAGGAGGGAAAGACGCCCCAAGAUCUGGACAAGCUGCGGCAUUUGGAGGUCCGACCCACUGACGUUUACAUCGUGGCUUUCCCCAAAUCAGGCACGUUAUGGAUGCAGCAGAUUCUAGUCCAGAUCAUGGACGAAGCUCACCCGGACCAAGCGGAGGACGACACAAACAGGAAUCGAGUCCCCUGGAUGGAGGGCGGAAUGGUAGACGACUGUCAACGAGAAAGGCCGGAUCCUCGCCUUAAUCGCACUCACCUUCCCCCCGACAUGCUGCCGCUGGGAGUGAAGGAAAAACAAGUGAAGACCAUCUAUUUGCUGAGGAACCCCAAAGAUGUCCUGGUGUCUCUGUACCACUUCUCCGGCAGCUGGGUGAUGCUGGAAACGCCCACCAGCUUCAACCAAUUCUUCGACGACUUCAUGGACGGCAAAACGUUUAUGGGUUCGUGGUUCGACCACGUCAGAGAAUACUACCGCGAGAAGGACAAGAUGAAUCUGCAUUACGUCAUGUUUGAGGACAUGCUGAAGGUUGGUGAUGUUUCCAGGAGACAGCUCUGGCCUCUUACGUCCGCGGCUGUUGCUGACAAACCAGUUCAGCAGCUCCGCUCCAGUUGUAAUUGCAUGAAACAUUAAGGUCCAUUGUUCUGAUCUGUAAUUCAGUUUUGAGUCAGCGAUGUACCAGGAAGAGCGAAGCAGCGGCCAAUUCACUUCACGACCACGUUUCUCCAUUUCCACCUGUGAAUAGUUGCAUUUCAGUCGCAGCUGGCAGUGACAGGAUGUCAGUGACACUGAAGCUCUGAGUCCUACGGAAGCACAAGGGUGACGUUUCCAACUGUGGUGAGAAAAUGGGACCAUGAAGGUUGACAGUGUGUGGAACAAUAAUAUUUGAGAUUCAUCACCACACAUGCCUGAAGAAACCUUCCCUGGAGGCAGGCAGGCAGAUCACCACAUGUCGAUGGGAGUCAAUAUUUAUCGAGAGUUUGGGUUUUACCUGAUCGUGUGCUAAUGUUAGCGUCAAUAUGUACCAUAUGUGUUGACUCUCAAACGUGAACGGUGACAGGACGCUAAAGGAGAGGUUGAGAAAAUAUGCAAGUUUCUGGAGAAGGAUCUGUCGGAUGAAGCCAUCCAUCGAGUGGUGGAGUCCUCCACCUUUGAUAACA